ensembl:lncRNA
AUGAGACUAAGAGAGCCCCUCGCGGGCAUCUCGGGGCCAGGCUCGGGGCCCAGGACCGGCAGUGCUCCCGGACAUGCAGACCGAGGCACGGAGGCACGCAGGCCCAGAGCUUGCCCUUACAGCAGAAGCAGGGAGAUGCGCAGGGAGCUAGUGGAGAAAUAUUUUCAAAGGAAAACAUCGACCCGUUUAGAGUCCCAUCUGCCUGAAGCGUGCUGUGUAGACCAUCCCUGGGUGAAUUCUUGGGUGAGAGCCUUCUGUACUUCAACUGACCGUGUACGUGGUAGUGUUUGCAGUCUGAGGUGGUUUUUGCACAAGAGUGUCUGCUUUCCUGAUGGGUUUAGAUCUUUGUACUUAAGAUCUGAUUUGAAAUACUUGGCCUUAACAGAGGUUUUGAAUAUGCUGAUAACCCCACCAUGUUAACCAUAGGCCGUCGGCCGGCCACAUUGAAACCCAGGUCCACACAAGUUUUGAUCCCUCUGUUUAUUUCCAUUUGAGGUGUAUGCCGAGUGCACGGACAGCUUGUCCACGAAAUGCUUUUCUCCAAGAAAACGCAUUGUCGUGCUUGAAUCCCAGAUGGCCACGGGCACCUUUAAAUGAACUUGACAUGAUGUCACUUUGAUUGGAGCUCCUUCGUUCGUUCAAAUCCCGCUCUGUUGCGUCUGGCUUUUCUCUCUUGCCCGCGACACUGAGCAUCAGACGACUGGGCUUCCAGAUGCAGCCCGUUGUUCUUUCGCUCUGGGCUGGUGAAUAAGGUGGCUGUGGCACCAGGCUUGCCGUGGCAGUGGUGGGUCUAGAACUUUGGAGGCCUGCGUGCCUCACUGAAGCCUGUUAAGGAAAACCCUUCACCUUCUCGAGAAAGUUACCUCAUGUGAAAAAGUGGGUGUUAAUAGCUAUCGUGGAAGGUUAUCGUGAAAACUUAAAAAUCUCGCUGGUGAGAGCACGGUGCGUCCAGAGGGAGGCCCGUAUACGUAGACAGGUCUGCUAGCCGUGCAGACACCCCCUCACAAUGGCCUAGGCGAUCCGACUCCAGGCAAAUUCACUUUUCAAUUAAAGCUUUAAAAAUACAGCUUAUACCCCUGAAAAUACUAAUAUGGAGGUAGCAUUUGUGGGCACGGCUGUGUUUAGUUGGUGGCUUUCUUCAGUAAGCGCAGUAAAGUGAAAUAGAGCACUUGGUCUAUUUCUGGAAACCCUGUCAUUUCAUUGUAAACAUGCAGCAGAGGGAAGGGUGUAAUUGUCCAGGUGCACAUUUACUGUCUUGCCCCAAUCUAGUAUUCCUGUUGUGUUUCGGCAUCACCUUUGCCCUGUAUUAAAUCGUGUAUUUUUAAAAAGUCAUGCAGCCUUUGGAGCUCCUGCGUAGCUCAGUUGGUUAGGCGUCAGACUUUUGGUUUUGGCUCAGGUCUGGAUCUCAGGGUUGAGAGAUCGAGCCCCACGUUGGGCUCCACACUCAACUCAGAGUCUGCUUGAGACUUUCUCUCUCUCCCCCUCCUCCAUCCCCUCUUUCUUGCUUUCAAACAAAUAAAUAAAUCUUGGGAAUAAAAAGUCAGGCAGCCUUUAAAAUAAUGCUAGAGAGUGCACAAAGAGGAAUUAAUUUUUUAAUCAAAAUUUAUGAACUUGCUGUAUAACAUUUUUAUGAAAGUCCUACUUGAAUUAUCUUUUUCUAUUUGACUAAAAUAGAAUUUGAUUUUUCUAUGGGGUAUUUAACGUUUUGGGUCAUAAUCAUGCCAGGGAUGAAUUAAUAGAUCUUCUCUGAGUGAACUGUCAGGACAGAUCCCCUCUGGCUUUGAAAUGUAAUUAAAAAUGUCAGUGAACUCUGCUGGAGGUCCACAGAGCUUCGGGGACCCCUCAACAACGCCGUCAGGGCUGAAAAUAGCCACCCACGUACAGAGAACAUGAGGCAGCAGCAAACUCUCCAGGAGCAGGAGGGAGAGGCCGCCGGUCAUCUCUGUCAGGCUUCUCUUGUCUCAACUUCCUUGUGGUUUCAGAAUAUUAUUCUCGAAUUUCCCGCAGGGGUAUUUUUAGCAGAAGGCUGUGGGUCCAGUAGGGGGCCCCUCUCAAUAAAUGGCCAGUGCAGGAGCCCUCCAAAAGAGGAGGGAGUCUCUGAAUGUAAAUAUCCAUGCUCUCUGCAACCCUUCUCCCUUAAUUAGGCUCUCAGACUUGCUUCCUUUCCACUUGGCACACCUUUCUUUUGUUUUUGGCAGGCUUUGAAGGAUGUGGGGAGGAGUUGUUGGAAGGAGGCUGGAAGAAUCCUGGGAGCAGAGGUGCCUUGUGACGGCCACCUGUCCCCGCCUUCCCCAUCUCCUCCCUCCACAGAGGUACCUGACUGCCUCAGAGCUGGAAACGGGGAGCUGAGGGUAGAGGAGGAGAACGAUUUUGUUUAGGGAGAGGUCAGUAGGUACAAAGCAACUUGUUUCUGGGGUGUAUUAAAAAUACUGGUUUCAGGCGAAUAAAUAAUCUUGCAGUUACUUGCAAGCAGGCAGUCCUAAUUUCUGGUUUU